UGCCAUCAAUGUGCUCUCAGCACUGGGCAAGACAAAACCAAGGCAAGAAAGAUCGAACGAUGUCAGAGACAGACAGAGAAGGCAGGAUGCAGGAACUUGGAACAACAUUAUUCUGUGGUUUCUUGUGAGAAUUGGGGAAGAAGUGUCUCUUGGAGGGACUUUGCAUGGGGUGGGCGAUGGCUGGGGAGCUGUUCCUUGGCGAUGGAGUCAGAGGAGAUGAAUGGAGUGGUGAAGCUCGCCUUGGAGCAGCAGAAGGAGUAAUGUGUUCCAAGUCCCAGAGCUGGAAUUGUCGAGUUGUGUAAUAUAUUUUAUUGCCGGCAAUGGCCCUUUAAGGAAGAAUGAGACUGGUGUCACGGACAAUACCCGUUCAAACCAGAGUGAGCAUGUGAACCCUACCCACUGGCUUCCAGAAAGGAAAGCUCUCCAAAUAGAUGAGGAAGUCUGAUUGGAGCUCACUGAUUCACACCCACUCUGCUCACCUUGCCCCACAAGCCAAUCAGAAGAACUCAUGAGCAGGCACAAGACUUUGGGGGCAUGUGUCACAGAAACAAGCCUGGCAAUUUGCAGACUGUCCCCUCUGACACUCUGGGACUCCUGAGUGUUCAGGGUAAUAACCAUCCUUACACCCUGGCUCUCACACAGAUAAUUAGGCUUGCUGCAUUAUUUCUGAGUGUGCACUCUCUCUCUCUCUCUCUCUCUCUGUAUUCCUGGUCUGUGGCUCCAUUCAGCCCUCUGACUCAUGGGCUGGGACCUUUGCGCUCUCUGUAAUGCAUCACAAAGUGAUACGAAAUGAAGAUACUUUCAUCAUCUCUGCAUCAGGGGGAGAAUUAUUGCCUGAGCACUGAGCAGUCCUGUUAUUGAUUUAAACCAUAGCCUCUGUCUCUCUGUUGCAGUGGCUGGUGAUGUCCUUCUGGGUCGUUGCAUUUAAUCGGAUUCCCUGAGCUGCCAGGCACAGGGGGAGAGUUAGAAUAAAAUCCGUCUACGAUGUUCACUUCAAAAUCCAACUCUGUCUCCCCUUCUCCGUCCAUGGAACAGGCAGACUCGGAUGUCUUGGAUAUCAGCACCAAAGUGCAGCUGUAUGGCGUGCUCUGGAAGAGACCCUUUGGGAGGCAGUCUGCCAAAUGGUCCAGGAGGUUCUUCAUCAUCAAGGAGAGUUUUCUGCUUUACUAUUCUGAGAGUGAAAAGAAGAGCUUUGAAAGCAAUAAGUACUUCAAUAUCCAUCCCAAGGGCGUCAUACCUCUGGCAGGCUGCAUUGUGGAAGCCAAAGAAGAGCCCAACAUGCCUUUUGCUAUGAAGAUCUCCCAUGAGGACUUUCACGGUAACAUUGUGCUGGCAGCGGAGUCAGAAUUUGAGCAGGCUCAGUGGCUGGAGAUGCUGCAGGAGUCUGGAAAAGUGACCUGGAAGAAUGCUCAACUGGGAGAAGCCAUGAUUGAGAGCCUGGAAGCUCAGGGGCUCCAGCUGGCCAAGGAGAAGCAGGAGUAUUUAGAUAAGCUGAUGGAAGAGACAGAGGAGCUGUGUCUGCAGAGGGAGCAAAAAGAGGAGCUGGAGCGUCUUAACCAGGUACUAGAGGCAGAGAAGCAGCAGUUUGAAGAGGUGGUACAGGAGCUGCGGCUGGAGCAACAGCAGAUUAAACGGGAGCUGGAACUGACAGCUCAGUCCCUCAAAGGAGUGGAGGAGGAGAAGAAGGAACUACGAAGCCUGACAGAGUCCUUACAGAAAACACUGGAGGAGCUCUCCCAGGAAAAGCAGAGAACUCUGGAGAUGCUGGAGGAGAAUGAGAGCCAACUUCAGCCCCUGGCCAAUGCUAGCAAGCAGCCAAACCCCACCGGGGGUCUGCACAGCAACCUGCGCCAGAUUGAGGAGAAGAUGCACCAGCUGCUGGAGGAGAAAGUCUUGGCGGAGAGAAGGAUGAAGGAAAAUGAGGAGCGGUCCCGAGCCUUGGAGGAGGAGCGGGAGUUUUACUCAUCUCAGUCACAGGUGCUGCAGAACUCGCUCUCAGAACUGACUGCAGAGAAACAGCAGACGGAGAGAGACCUCAAGGCUGAGAUGAAAGUCCGUAUGGAUCUAGAGAAGAGACUGAGGGAGGCUGAGGAAGCCCUACAUAGCUUGGAGCAAGGCUUAAAUUCUCUGGAUCGCAACAAAGAGAAGGAGGAGAAAAUGAAAACAGAUGUCAGCAAUUUGAAAAAGUUCUUCGAGGAGUGCAUCCGGAAUGCCGAGCUGGAAGCCAAGAUGCCCAUGAUCAUGAAGAACUCCGUGUACCUCCACAAGGCUGCCACCCGCCGGAUAAAGAGCUGCCGGCUUCACCGCAGGAGGUCCAGCGCUUCAUGGAAUGACUUGAAACAGUCCCAGUCGUUCAUCUUCUCCCAGACAGAAGCCGAUAACAUUGAGGAGCUGAAGGAGGCAGCCAAGAGGCUGAGCCGGGAUCAGCACUUCCGAGAAACCCUCUAUCAAAUCAUGAUGUCACAAAAAAAUUCUGCCUCAGGGGACGAAAAGUGAAUCCUUGUCUCCUCCCAUCAGGAGGGGGCUUCUGAUCUCAGCUCAUUGUUCACCUCAUCAGAAGUUAAACCACUGGGGUCAGGGGGAGGAUUUGCUCCUUUGUGGGGAAAGGGGCAGGAUGGAUGCAUGCAAUACCCUUCAGGGUUGUGGCUUUUAGUGUGCGUUCCUGAGCAGUGCCAAUUUCUCUUUCCCUAGACUACAGGGAAGCUCUGACGUUCCCCCCAAAUCACCUCCCUUUACUUCAGCCGUUUCCAUUAGGACGUGUUCUGCCAAAAUCCCACAAUCAGUGUUCAAAUGAAUCACACACUUUAGCUUAGGGAGUGUCGGGUCAUUUCUUCACAGUCUAGUCCCGCAGCCAAAUGUAGGUGCUGCUGAUAAACCCCUUUCUUAGCCUAAUGUCCAGCUAGUGAAACUAGCAGAUAAGCCACAGCCCAAUUGCUCUGUCUUGCCUUCUUUCUCAGCUGGUCCAAUACAUCCCUCGGUAUCUGUGCUGGGAAGGAGGAUGUUCCUUAUCAUGUUUCCUAGACACUGCAGCUAUAUCAAUCUCCUAAGCGCGUGCAAUGACGUCAAGCCCGGAACAACCUCUUGAUGUAGAACCCUUUAAGCAGUUUCCCAUCUCAGUGCCCUGCACUAGCCUGACGGCGUCACAUUCUGAUACCUUGCUUGGGG